rnacentral:rRNA from 1 species
AACGAACGCUGGCGGCGCGCCUAAUACAUGCAAGUCGAGCGAGAAGACGUAGCAAUACGUUUGUAAAGCGGCGAACGGGUGAGGAAUACAUGGGUAACCUACCCUCGAGUGGGGAAUAACUAGCCGAAAGGUUAGCUAAUACCGCGUACGCUCCUUGGACUUCGGUUCAGGGAGGAAAGCGAUACCGUGGGUAUCGCGCUCUUGGAUGGGCUCAUGUCCUAUCAGCUUGUUGGUGAGGAACGGCUCACCAAGGCUUCGACGGGUAGCUGGUCUGAGAGGACGAUCAGCCACACUGGCACUGCGACACGGGCCAGACUCCUACGGGAGGCAGCAGUAAGGAAUAUUGCGCAAUGGGCGAAAGCCUGACGCAGCGACGCUGCGUGGGGGAGUGAAGGUCUUCGGAUUGUAAACCCCUUUCGGAGGGAAGAUGGAACGAGCAAUCGUUCGGACGGUACCUCCAGAAGCAGCCACGGCUAACUUCGUGCCAG